UAAAACUCCAAAAAUUAAAUUCUGGCCCUCAAACCCCACAACAGGAUUUAAUUAACCUUGCCUUCAAGGUGUACAAUAAUAGAAAAAAGUUGCAAUGCCUUGCCUCCACAGUGAGACAAACCCCAGCCACAUCUCCAGCACGCAAGAACUUCCAAACGCUGAACCGCAGUGGCCAGGCGUUCCUCCAGAACCUCCUCCCCCAGGAGCUUGCUACAAGUGCCAGAAAUCUGACCACCAGGCCAAGGAAUGCCCACAGCCCAGGAUUCCUCCUAAGCCGUGUCCCAACUGUGCGGGACCCCACUGGAAAUCAGACUGUUCAACUCACCUGGCAGCCACUCCCAGAGCCCCUGGAACUCUGGCCCAAGGCUCUCUGACUGACUCCUUCUCAGCUUAGUGGCUGAAGACUGAUGCUGCCCGAUCACCUCGGAAGCCCUCUAGACCAUCACGGACACCAAGCUUCACAUAACUCUCACAGUGGAAGGAAUCACUGAAUCCCUGUCAACUCAUCUACUGGUGGAAAGGAGGAAAACAACAGAAAUUCAGAUCUCCAGAUUAGCAGACAAUGCAAGGCUGGGACACAGAGCAAAUGACAAGUGACAGUGAAACUGGAUUUAAGAGAAUUUGAAUCAUUUGGGCGAGAAAGCCCGCAGAUGGCGCAUGCUGUUCGGUGUGGAAAAAUGGGUCAUUGCUCCCAGAGCAAUUACCAUAGCCUAAAAGACCUGUGAGAAGAGCAGAGCAUUUGUGCUGCAGGCUGAUCAGGGAAGAAUUAGGGGAGAUAUGUAGGGACUCCAAUGCUGUUACGACAGCACCCACGUGGCUCAUGCCCACACAGGAUGAUAAACCAAGCUCAAGAGAGAGUGCCAUACCCAGUGAGGUCUGUGGCCAUGGCCUUCCCUGGAUAAAAUGAGGGCAGCCCCACAGCACAGCAGAGAACAUUUGUCAAGGCUGGCCCGUGAGCACAGUGCUGCUGCCAUCAUGGUGCCGGAAAGCUAGAGUCUGUGGAAAACCCAGUGUGCUGAGGUGGCCCUGGGGUGGCCACAAUUGCUCUGUACAGGAAGCUGGACGUCUUCAUUCUGGCCCCCGCUCUGCUCCCUGAAAAAGGCUUCCUGACCUUAGUUUCUCUAUCUGUGAAAUAGGUACUGAGAUACUUGCUCUGUUUAGGUUACAGGAUUUUAGUGAGGAUUGAGAGAACCAGCAAGUGCAAAAGCAAACCAGAAACUGUCAGCCUUCAACCAAAAUAAGGAUUACUCAGGGAAGAUGAGUAGGAUUUGGUCUCAUCUCAAGCAAGACAAUGAUGCUCUGGGUUUGGGGAAGGGAUGGAAUGUGUGAGGAUAAAGAAAUCUUCAGGAUCAUGAAAGAGAUUGUUUUCAAAGUUAAAAGUAAGACAUCCUUCAUAUUAGGAAAAAAAUAACUGUAAGAAAUUGUUGUUUGAAGCUUGAAGAGUGAAAGUUUCAGAGGCCCAACUCCUCUCAGGAGGAUAAGUAUGGAAAAUAAGUUACUCUUGAGGGUAAUUAAUUGAAACAGAGGGCGAAUGAGUCCAAAAUGCACUUACAUCCCUUUCAAAUUGAAGGGAACAGAGAGCUUAAGAAAAGAGGGGAGGGGCAAGGAGGUAAAGAUCAAUGUUGAAAAGGCAAACAUGCUCUUUUCUUUAAAUGAGUGUGACCUCAGACAUGGGGUUAGCACAGACAGGUAUGUCCCAGCCCCAUAAUUCCCUUUCUAACCUACUAGCUGUGUUUGCGCAGGCGCCUGCCAUUGGGAAGCGCUCUGCGAGCUUUCCUGGGAUUGUGCCUCAUGAGCCAUCACCUGUCACUAUGUGUAUUUCAAGCCUACUUCUUCCUCUCCCUGACCUGUGAGAUGCUAAGAGGAGGAGGGAUGGGGUGUCAUGCAAUAUGGAAACCACUUUAAACAUCCACUGGGCUGAUGGCAAUAACAAAAUUUAUGUAAUCCAUGAAAGCACAGAAUUGGGUAAUAAAACUGGAUAAA
rnacentral:lncRNA from 10 species